UUCGGGGUAGCUUAAUGGAGAGAGCAGUCGCUCGGCAAGCAAAAGACCCGGGUUCAAUUCCCGCCCUCGGCU
rnacentral:tRNA from 1 species